rnacentral:rRNA from 1 species
AAAGUUGGUUGCAGUUAAAAGCUCGUAGUUGGACCUUGGACCUGGACAGGCGGUCCGCCUCAAGGCGAGUACUGUCUUGCUGGGUCUUUCCUCUUGGUGAUCUGUUGUUUCGGCAGCAGGGAACCAGGACCUUUACUUUGAAAAAAUUAGAGUGUUCAAAGCAGGCUCGACGCCGGAAUAUAUUAGCAUGGAAUAAUAAAAUAGGACGUGCGGUUCUAUUUUGUUGGUUUUUGGAAUCGCCGUAAUGAUUAAUAGGGACAGUCGGGGGCAUUAGUACUCACACGCUAGAGGUGAAAUUCUUGGAUUUUGUGAAGACUAACUUCUGCGAAAGCAUUUGCCAAGGAUGUUUUCAUUAAUCAAGAACGAAGGUUAGGGUAUCGAAAACGAUUAGAUACCGUUGUAGUCUUAACAGUAAACUAUGCCGACUAGGGAUCGGUCGAUAUUAUCUUUUUGACUCCAUCGGCACCUUACGAGAAAUCAAAGUUUUUGGGUUCUGGGGGGAGUAUGGUCGCAAGGCUGAAACUUAAAGAAAUUGACGGAA